rnacentral:rRNA from 1 species
AUUCAGCGGCGGACGGGUGAGUAAUGCCUAGGAAUCUGCCUGGUAGUGGGGGGCAACGUCUCGAAAGGGACGCUAAUACCGCAUACGUCCUACGGGAGAAAGCAGGGGACCUUCGGGCCUUGCGCUAUCAGAUGAGCCUAGGUCGGAUUAGCUAGUUGGUGAGGUAAUGGCUCACCAAGGCGACGAUCCGUAACUGGUCUGAGAGGAUGAUCAGUCACACUGGAACUGAGACACGGUCCAGACUCCUACGGGAGGCAGCAGUGGGGAAUAUUGGACAAUGGGCGAAAGCCUGAUCCAGCCAUGCCGCGUGUGUGAAGAAGGUCUUCGGAUUGUAAAGCACUUUAAGUUGGGAGGAAGGGCAGUAACUUAAUACGUUGCUGUUUUGACGUUACCGACAGAAUAAGCACCGGCUAACUCUGUGCCAGCAGCCGCGGUAAUACAGAGGGUGCAAGCGUUAAUCGGAAUUACUGGGCGUAAAGCGCGCGUAGGUGGUUUGUUAAGUUGGAUGUGAAAGCCCCGGGCUCAACCUGGGAACUGCAUUCAAAA